GUUAUUAUCCCCAUAUUUAAAAUGGAGGAAGGCCAGAGAGGUAGUGGCUUGUCCUAGGACACCCAGCUAGUGAAGGCCACCAGAGCCAGGAGCCUGAUUCUAAGUCAAGAGAAUUUCUACCACCCCAUACUGGCAGCCGAAGGAGGCAGGCAGGGCAGCAAACAGGCAAUUUCCUUCCUUCUCUCCCUGGAAAGAUGACAGCCGCGAUGCCAGUCCUCCCGAGCCCGCCAGCCCCACCAUCGGCCUGGAUAAGAAGACUCGCCGAAAGUUCCUGGACCUGGGGGUCACCCUGCGCCGAGCAUCCACGGGCAAGAGCCGGAAGGAGAAAGGCAGCAACCGCCUGUCCAUGGGCAGCAGGGAGUCAGUGGAGGGGUCCGGCAGGUCAGGGGGCUCCCCGUUCCUGCCUUUUUCCUGGUUCACAGACAGCGGCAAGGGCUCAGCAUCCUCGGGUAGCACCACCUCCCCUACCUGCUCCCCUAAACACGAGGGCUUCAGCCCUAAGAAGUCAGCUUCCCAGGAAUCCACUCUGAGUGAUGACUCCACGCCCCCCAGCAGCAGCCCCAAGAUCCCCAGUGGGCCCCGGCAGGAGGCCAAAU
rnacentral:sRNA from 1 species